rnacentral:rRNA from 11 species
CUCCUACGGGAGGCAGCAGUGGGGAAUAUUGCACAAUGGGGGAAACCCUGAUGCAGCCAUGCCGCGUGUGUGAAGAAGGUCUUCGGAUUGUAAAGCACUUUAAGUUGGGAGGAAGGGCAGUAAAUUAAUACUUUGCUGUUUUGACGUUACCGACAGAAUAAGCACCGGCUAACUCUGUGCCAGCAGCCGCGGUAAUACAGAGGGUGCAAGCGUUAAUCGGAAUUACUGGGCGUAAAGCGCGCGUAGGUGGUUCGUUAAGUUGGAUGUGAAAUCCCCGGGCUCAACCUGGCAACUGCAUU